CAGACCUUGAAGACUCAUGCAGUGAUGAUGUGGAGGAUGCGGAAUCUGAGGGGGUGCAUUAUGCCACCGGCAGAAAGUCCAAGAUGAGCAUUGUCCUUAAAGACACUACAGACCAGCCAGAGAUGUACAUUGCUGUGGAUUCUCCACCUAUGAUUAAAUUAUCCAAGAUGAGGAAAGGCAUCCGGGGCUUCUUCUGGGGAGUCCAGAAGGCCUGGAAACGCUUGGUCACCUGCAAGUCCUCUGGGUCCUCUGAUGGGUAGCCUGGAUGACGUGCAGCCCAUGUCAGUUGCUUUUGCCAGGCUACAUCUGAGGAGGACACCACAACUGGCCUCAAUACAACAUUUUUAUUUUUGUUGUUCAUUUCUGUUUUCAUUUUGAGUCCCCUAAUGCUGCUCUAUUUGAACCAGGCUGUCAGUGGACUAGCUUACCAUUAGU